UACGUAGGGGGCUAGCGUUGUCCGGAAUCAUUGGGCGUAAAGCGCGUGUAGGCGGUUCGGUAAGUCCGCUGUGAAAGUCGGGGGCUCAACCCUCGAAUGCCGGUGGAUACUGUCGGGCUAGAGUGCGGAAGAGGCGAGUGGAAUUCCUGGUGUAGCGGUGAAAUGCGUAGAUAUCUGGAGGAACACCGGUGGCGAAGGCGGCAUCCUGGACCGACACUGACACUGAGGAGCGAAAGCCAGGGGAGCAAACGGG
rnacentral:rRNA from 1 species